GUCCUCAUAGUAUAGUGGUUAGUACGCUAGAUUCUCAGUCUAGAGGUCGGGGUUCGAUUCCCCGUGGGGAUAC
rnacentral:tRNA from 1 species